AUUCCAGCUCCAAUAGCGUAUAUUAAAGUUGUUGCGGUUAAAAAGCUCGUAGUUGGAUUUCUGCUGAGGACGACCGGUCCGCCCUCCGGGUGAGCAUCUGGUUCGGCCUUGGCAUCUUCUUGGUGAACGUAUCUGCACUUGACUGUGUGGUGCGGUACCCAGGACUUUUACUUUGAGGAAAUUAGAGUGUUUCAAGCAGGCAUACGCCUUGAAUACAUUAGCAUGGAAUAAUAAGAUAGGACCUCGGUUCUAUUUUGUUGGUUUCUAGAGCUGAGGUAAUGAUUAAUAGGGAUAGUUGGGGGCAUUCGUAUUUAACUGUCAGAGGUGGAAUUCUUGGAUUUACGAAAGACGAACAACUGCGAAAGCACUUGCCAAGAGUGUUUUCAUUA
rnacentral:rRNA from 1 species